ACGGCUCAGUAACACGUGGAUAACCUGCCCUUGGGUCCGGCAUAACCCCGGGAAACUGGGGAUAAUUCCGGAUAACGCACAUAUGCUGGAAUGCUUUAUGCGUAAAAUGGAUUCGUCUGCCCAAGGAUGGGUCUGCCGCCUAUCAGGUAGUAGUGGGUGUAAUGUACCUACUAGCCAACAACGGGUACGGGUUGUGAGAGCAAGAGCCCGGAGAUGGAUUCUGAGACAUGAAUCCAGGCCCUACGGGGCGCAGCAGGCGCGAAAACUUUACAAUGCGGGAAACCGUGAUAAGGGGACACCGAGUGCCAGCAUCAUAUGCUGGCUGUCCGGGUGUGUAAAAUACACCUGUUAGCAAGGGCCGGGCAAGACCGGUGCCAGCCGCCGCGGUAACACCGGCGGCCCGAGUGGUGAUCGUGAUUAUUGGGUCUAAAGGGUCCGUAGCCGGUUUGGUCAGUCCUCCGGGAAAUCUGAUAGCUCAACUAUUAGGCUUUCGGGGGAUACUGCCAGGCUUGGAACCGGGAGAGGUAAGAGGUACUACAGGGGUAGGAGUGAAAUCUUGUAAUCCCUGUGGGACCACCUGUGGCGAAGGCGCCUUACCAGAACGGGUUCGACGGUGAGGGACGAAAGCUGGGGGCACGAACCGGAUUAGAUACCCGGGUAGUCCCAGCCGUAAACGAUGCUCGCUAGGUGUCAGGCAUGGCGCGACCGUGUCUGGUGCCGCAGGGAAGCCGUGAAGCGAGCCACCUGGGAAGUACGGCCGCAAGGCUGAAACUUAAAGGAAUUGGCGGGGGAGCAC
rnacentral:rRNA from 1 species